GUGCUCGCUUCAGCAGCACAUAUACUAAAAUUGGAACGAUACAGAUAAGAUUAGCAUGACCCCUGCACAAAAAUGGCAUGCAAAUUUGUGAAGUGGCCCUAACCGGU